rnacentral:rRNA from 1 species
GACGAACGCUGGCGGCGGGCUUAACACAUGCAAGUCGAACGGAAAGGCCCUGCGUGUGUGGGGUGCUCGAGUGGCGAACGGGGGAGGAACACGUGAGUAACCUGCUCUUGACUUUGGGAUAACUUCAGGAAACGGGGGCUAAUACCGGAUAGGAGAUCCUGCUGCAGGGAGGGGGUUGGAAAGUCGCGGCGGUUGGGGAUGGACUCGCGGCUUAUGAGCUUGUUGGUGGGGUAGUUGCUUACCAAGGCUUUGACGGGUACGCGGCCUGAGAGGGUGACCGGCGACCCUGGCUCUGAGGGGCGGCCCCGGCUCCUACGGGUGGCAGCAGUGCGGAAUCUUGCACCAUCGGCGCCGGCCGGAUGCAGCAGCGCCGCGUGUGGGAUAGCGGUUUUGGGGUUGUAGAACGCCUUCGGCUGUGACGACGCGUGAUCGACGGUAAUGGGUAGAGUAGGACCGGCUAACUACCUG